CGCGUAGGCGGCGCCACAAGUCGCAUGUGAAAUACCAGGGCUUAACCUUGGGGUGUCAUGCGAAACUGUGGGGCUUGAGUGCAGUAGAGGAAAGCGGAAUUCCUGGUGUAGCGGUAAAAUGCGUAGAGAUCAGGAGGAACACCGGUGGCGAAGGCGGCUUUCUGGGCUGCAACUGACGCUGAGGCGCGAAAGCGUGGGGAGCAAACAGGAUUAGAUACCCUGGUAGUCCACGCCGUAAACGAUGAUUACUAGGUGUGGGUAUCGCAGGAUAUCCGUGCCGGAGCAAACGCAAUAAGUAAUCCGCCUGGGGAGUACGGCCGCAAGGUUGAA
rnacentral:rRNA from 1 species